UCUGAAGAUGCUCAGCAAAGAACCAGCUAACAAUAUUGCUGCUGUCUCCCCUCAGACAACUCCAGUUGCACCCCGCUCUGUCUCUGAAGAC
rnacentral:sRNA from 1 species